rnacentral:rRNA from 1 species
UACGGGGGGAGCAAGCGUUGUUCGGAUUUACUGGGCGUAGAGGGCGCGUAGGCGGCCUCUGCAAGUCGACUGUGAAAUCUCCGGGCUUAACCCGGAAAGGUCAGCCGAUACUGCAGGGCUAGAGUGCAGAAGGGGCAACUGGAAUUCUCGGUGUAGCGGUGAAAUGCGUAGAUAUCGAGAGGAACACCUGCGGCGAAGGCGGGUUGCUGGGCUGACACUGACGCUGACAGCGCGAAAGCUAGGGGAGCGAACGGG